CGGAAUUCCGGCCAGUUAGUAAGAUACUACUGCAUUCUAUGAAAAGAGUUGACAUUUAUAAGACCAUUGCAGACGAGUAUAAGAAUUUUAUAUAGCAAAAUAGUCAUUCAUUAGAUAGUUAAACAAACGGUGUGAGUAUUCCUUUAUAGGAGUGAGUCUUUAUAGUCUCUUGGCCAAUAACGGUCGAGACAAAUCGAAGGCAUCUUGUCGCGCCAGAUUCAAAAAAAGCGCGCCUCCUAAGCAAACGUAGCUACUAUGUAUAGCCUGUAUAGGAUCUUAAAGUGCAGCUGUGUAUACUUUGCAAAAAGGGGGAAAUGAUAUAUUUUAGAAUUGAUACGUGUCAAAGAGAGUAGGUAAUGUGGUUUUUUGAGACAUGAGUGUAACAAAGUUUGUCACGAUAAUAUUUUAUAAAGGAGAGAUAAAAAACUUAAUGUAAAAAUGACAAACGAUUGUAGAAGAUGAGAAACUAUGCCAUUAAUUAAUUAUCGG